rnacentral:tRNA from 1 species
GACCGAUUAGCUCAGAUGGUAGAGCGCUUCGUUGACAUCGAAGAGGCCAUAAGUUCAAUCCUUAUAUCGGUCACAA